CGAUCUCUCCUAUUCUGUCAACUGCAUAUGCUUGACUUCAUGUUUGUCGUAGAUUUGUCUCAUAUAUGUUUUGUGAAACCUAAUGAUUAAAAUAGAUGUGGGUAAAAUUGAAGAUGACUAAUUUUUGGAGAUUGUGGGGUUUGUAACAUAAGAUUCUUACCACUUAAUUAUGUCUAAAAGUUUUUUCAUUGUCAGAUUAGAUUCACAAACACUCAACUGUGUUAGUGAAAUGAAUUUCGAGGAGAGCUUAAGAGAUAAAAACUGCAUUAGAGAUUGCAUGUGUACUAUAGCUUCUGUGUCAAGAAACUAGUGUCUGUAAUUAGGUAAAGGUCCUGAUGGAUUUAUAACAGGAGGUCAUGGCAGAUUACCAGUUUGACAAAGAUUCAAAAUAUAUUAUUGAGUCACAUGAUCAAGCAAUUUAAUUUGUCCCCUAAAUCACAAAAAAUUUUGAUGAAAAAAAUUUUGAUAACUUACUGUAGGUUCUUAAGAAUAACAGUAAUCAGCUGCUUUUUCGGGGAAAUAGCGAAUCUGGAAAAUGAAUCUGUGUGUGUGUGUGUGUGUUCUGAAUUGCCUUACAUUUGACCUGUGAAAAAGUUUUCCCCCCACUAUUUGGUUUUCAGUGGUUCUUGUUGUUUCAUUACAGUAGCCUUCUAGGCUUCUAAAAUCCCUUUACUCCUAUUCAUUUUUAGAUUUUGAUAUUUAUUUAGUCUAAAGGAAUUAUCCCCAUCGACACAAUUUUUCACUCUAAUUCACAAGGUUGUCUCCUCUCAACCUUUAUCUCACCUAUAUUCUAUUAGGUUGACAAGUAUUUCAUUUUUUAGCUUAGACCUGAGUAACUACCAUAUAGUAGCAGAGAAAGCUAAUAAGUUUGAGCAUGUAGAAUAAAUUGUUGUUGACAAUCCUUCAAUAUAAUGGAUGAGUGCAUUAGGAAUCCAAAACUUGGCCGAAAAGUGUAAUCGAGUCCUAAAACUUUCGGAUAGUGCAAUCAAGCCCUAAAACUUGUCCAAUUUGUUCAAUCGCGUAUUUGCUUAAUUUUGCUAACUCCAUCCAAUUUGAGUGACAGAAAAUGUUGAUGUAGCAUUGUUAACAUUUUCGAUAACAUGAGGCACUGAUGUGGCGCCAAAUGUUUGCCACAUCCGAAAAAAGGCAAUAGUUUCCCAAAAAAAAAAAAAUGAAGCUAAAAAUAAAAUGGUG